rnacentral:rRNA from 1 species
GAUGAACGCUAGCGGGAGGCUUAACACAUGCAAGUCGAGGGGCAGCAUGAUGUAGCAAUACAUUGAUGGCGACCGGCAGACGGGUGAGUAACACGUAUGUAACCUACCCUGUACAGGGGGAUAACCCGGAGAAAUUCGGACUAAUACCCCAUAAAGAUAUGAGAUGGCAUCAUUUUAUAUUUAAAGUUCCGGCGGUACGGGAUGGGCAUGCGUAACAUUAGCUAGUUGGUAAGGUAACGGCUUACCAAGGCUGCGAUGUUUAGGGGUCCUGAGAGGGUGAUCCCCCACACUGGUACUGAGACACGGACCAGACUCCUACGGGAGGCUG